rnacentral:tmRNA from 1 species
CCCCUUGAGCCGCCCCCGAACCCUCCCUAUAUUGGGAGUGUUCUUCGGAACUAUGGACAUAAACGCGCCUGUAAUAAGCGGAUCGGACCCGGGGGCGGUACCCGGCGGCUCCACCAAAUUCCCUUUCGUUGGAGGGUGUUAGGGGCCGAAACAGGAUCGACGAACGUGUAAAGAGGAAUGCUUUGUCUCGGUGAGGUACCACCGAUAUCGGUCCGUUAAGCAUAAUUGCCAACGACAAUCGUGCUCCGGUAGCUCUCGCCGCUUAAGCGGUGCGAAAAACCGAAAAUUAAGCCCAGCCCUCUAGCAAGGUCUGGCGGGGUUCGCAGGCACCUGGCAACAGAAGCCUGCACU